UGCUGUGUUACUUUUAUACAAGCCUUAAAGAUAAUCUAGCAAAUCUUCUCCAAUCUUCUCCUAAUCUAUAUCACAACCAUUCCCAAACAGCAGAUAUGAAGGAUGAAAAUAAACAGAACAUAAAGGACGGGAGAGUUGAAAGAAUAAAAGUCAGGACCAGAAAGAGAAUGAGGAAAAUCCAGAUAAGUCCGUUCCGGGGAGAAAAAUAAAAUAAUUACAGAAAUCAUAGGAUUUCCUUACGUAUUCAGAUUUAGCCACAACUGAACUAGUAAUUUUAAAUUGGGAUGUUAAGAGCAGCCUCCUCAUCUACUGGUUCUGGUAAUCCCUCUUGGAAUCCCAUUGGCACUAUGCCUGAGGGCCAGGAGUCUCUGCCCAGGCUGAGGGAUGCAGCUGCCACAACCCCCUUUUCCCCUGCAAUAUUUGCAUGAGGAACUGGGAGUGAAAGAGUGAGGUUAAGCCUGAAAAAAAAAAUAAGGGUAGGAGAAAGCAUUGUUUUAAUUUGCCUUCGUUUCUCACUAGGCAAGCCUUUUUUUAAUUGGCAGUAAACUAAUUUCCCCCAAGUGGAGUCUUUGUCAGCUGUGAUGGUAAUUGUUAAUCAGUCUCCCCGUCCUUGGCUUUACCUGUGAGCUUUUUCUGGCUAAUUUUCUCUCUUUGUCCUGUUGAAGAGGGGCUAUGAGACAAUGGCUGGGUGGAUCUCUGGCAGCCAGCCAAGGCAAUCCACCAUAGUCACUAAGACACUCAAGAACUGCAGAAGUGUUUGUCUAAUUUCUACCCACCCUCAGAGACUGUUACAGCUGCUGAACAAGAUGUCUGUCAGUUUCUCCAGCACCCAGCUUGAGCCAAUACUGUCGUCGCUAUUUGGCUGA
rnacentral:lncRNA from 1 species